AUGACCCAAUAUAGAUUUGUUAUUAAUAUUACUUAAUUGCCCUUAAUGAAACAUGCAAUGUUAGUGAAGGAAACAUGCCCCUAAGGUAAUUAUGACAAUAGGAUCCUGCUUUAAUAGUAUAGAUUAAAAAUAAAUAAGUAUUUAAUGUAAGGGCAAAUCUCUAAAAUAGCACAUUUCUAAGUUUAUAUCACAAAAAUAGCACUCAAAAACUAAAAUGACAAAAAUAGCAUUUUAUCUUUUGAAAAAUUUAAAUUUUUUUAUUUUUCAAAAUUUGAAAUCUUAUCCCCAAAACCUCACUUCUCAACUCUAAACCCUAAAAACUAAACUCUAAACCCUAAAUUCUAAACCCUAAACCCCACCCUUUGAGUGCUAUUUUUGUGACUUUUGGCCUUGAGUGUUAGUUUGAGAACAAAAACUUGAUUUAAUGCUAUUUUGGUCUUUUUCUCUUAACGUAAUGUUUAUCUUUAAUAUAAUGAUUUUGAAUUAUACAAAUCAAAAAGGAAGUGAUUGGAAUCUUUUUAUAAUAUUUCAUUAAAAAAAAUUUAGGAAUAAAAACCAAGAUUAAAUUAUUUAAUCUGAAUGAAAUAAUAUAGAUAUAUUGCUUCCAAUAUUAAAAAUCACUUUGAUUUGAAGAUGUGUGUUUCUGAGAUUGUCAUGAUCAAAUAAAAUAUUAAAAAACACCUAUUUAAAAAAUAAUUUGUUUGCAUAAAAGUAUAUACAUUAGAAUAAGCACAUAAAUCAAAACCAAUACCUUUUGUUAAUUUACAAUCACGUUUUUGGUAAUUAAUCAAAACAAUCAUUUUAUUUACUUUAUACGGUAUAAAUUAAAUUUCAGUGAUAUUGAUAUAAAUACAUAGUAUAUUUUAAUAUAAAUAUUUAUUAUUGAUACUUCUUACUCAUAUGAUUUUUUAACAUUUGUAUAUUUGCGGUAACAAAAAUUUAUACAUAAUUAACACCCAAAAACCAAACCGAAUAACCCGGGAUAAAUCAACACAAUAAUUAGGUUUGGUUCUCUCCAGAGUAUGAGACAUCAGAUUUUAAAAUGCAUGAAGAACUAACAUGUCAUUAACUGAAAAAACUUGAAAAACCAAUUAACUUAUUUCGUUUCUACACGUCAUUUUUUAUUCUCCAUUGAAAUCAAAAUCGUAUCCUCGAAGAUGGUGGAGUGAACAGAUUCGUGGGUCUGUUCGGCCAUAAUUCAUCUUCUGUUCACUUUCUCUGACACCGGAUUUCAUAGCUCGACUCAUCUCUUCCAGCCUUGUGGCCAGCUUCUUCUUCUUCUUCUUCUUCUUCUUCUUCUUCUUCUUCUUCUUCUUCUUCUCAGGAUUCACCUCUGUCUCGAGCUUCCUCUUCUCCGUCGCAGUUCGUCGUGUCUGUUUCGGGCCUGAAUCGCGACCUCCAUCUUCUUCUUCUUCCCAGGCUUGGCUCGUGGUGGUGGUUCAGUUCGUGGUCCAGCCAGCAGCACUGGACUCGUCUUCUGCAACUUUGGUUAUCAUCUCCGUCCUGGCUGAGCUUCUGAUUGAGAAGCUUGACAGCUCCUCCAAUGGGUCUCUCGUCCAAGUUGCCUACUCCGUCGUACUCUCAGCCAUCUCCAUCGUCGAAAACAGCCGUGGUAAUCGCCGGAAUCGUCGGGAUCGAAGUGAAGAAGAACGACAAUGGUGAUCUUUAGCUGUUUUGCACAUAUGGUCCUUAACUUUUUCGACUAUUCACGAUUUGACCCUAAAACUCUUGAUAUUGCAGAUACACCCUCUCAAAUCAACCUCUGUACUUUCGAUUGUGAAUUUAACCCAACCAAGAAUUGUGAAUUUGCAGCGCUGGUCCCUGAGUUUUUGUUAAAAUCACAUUGGGCCCAAGACUUCGAUAAUGUGCAAUUUAACCCAUGAUUUUUACCAUAAACUUCCAAAUGUUCAUUCCAAACCCUAUCAAAUGCAAUUAUGUAUGAAAAUGCAAUAUAAAGACCUAAAUACAACCUAGAAUGAUUAGAAUAAGCUCAAUGAUAUCCUAAAUAUCAUUAAAAUCAUGUUAUAUCAUAGAUGAGAGAACACGAUCCUCCUCCAUCUUCUUUCUCGGAGAAUGAAGAGAUCCGUGAAUAAGUGUAGAGGGUUUUGGGUGGGAGUUCUAGGGUUUAUGGUAACGGUGCAGAUCUCUGGUGGAUUGUGAAGAUUCCAACAUCCAGUGAUGGUGAAGAGCGGCAGCUCUGACAUCGCUCUCCUCCACGUCUUUGUUCCGCUACAUAAUACCAACAAGAGUAAAGAUGAGAUGACUCUAUCACUCUAAGGACAACAAUGGUGGUGACGAUCGGAGACGAACACAACGUCUUUUUCGCAUACAUGAACGGAGAGGAGGAUUUGAGGGAUGAACCAAGAACCAUACGAAGUCUGAAGGAGGGGAAGAAGAGAAGAAAAGAAAAAGAGGUGCUGGUGAAAAGCAUCAAUGUUUACAAUAUAAAGAAGAUGACAACUUGGCUUUAGGUAGAAGGAAAUAUAUAUGCUUAUAGAAAUAUACGGGUUAGAAAGUGAAUAAAAGAAUUGAGUUUUGGUUUGAUAAAAUUAAAUAUAAUAAGACACACCAAACAGAUUUUAAUAAACCAAGUUAUUACAAUUUAUUACUAAAUUGGUGAAAUUGAAGACCAUAUAAUAAGUAACAUUCAAACAUGAAGAAGACCACAAAUUGACAAUCCAUAAUUCUAUCGGGUAAAGAAGCCACAAACAAUCAAACCAUGAUGGGAUUAUUUGAUGAGUUGUUAAGCUUAAACUAAGCUGAGAUUUCCUCAAGAAUAAUUCUUUUUGAAACUCAAGAAGAGUCGAAAAAGCUAGUUUUGGUUCUAACUGCUAAGAAGAGUCGAUCAUGCUAGCUAUGGUCUAAUUCUGAUGCAGAUGGUCGGUCUCAUUCUCAAAGUUGGUUGCCAAGUUCAUCAAAAUGAAAGAGCAACUACAUUAACAAAUAAAUAAUGCACAAACAUUUAUGUGACAAAUUUUAUCAAAAAUAUCACAUAAUAUAUUCUAUGUAAAAUAUUUUUCAAAAGCCAAUACUAAUAUUGGUGAUGGAGAAUAUUUACUGAAUCAUUUUACAAAAUAUAUUAUUUUAACGAAGGCUAAUUAUUUUACUACAAUAUUGAAUUUUAAAUUUGAAGUGAAGUGAAGGACAUUUACUACAAUGUUGAAUUUUCAAUUUGGUGAACCAGAAAAACGUAGGAAAAGAAAUGAAUUGGACUUCUAUCAUUAACCUUAAACUCAAUUGAAAAAUAAAUGAAUAAUAAAAAGUAUAAAUAUAAAAGUGAUGUAAACAAAAAUUUAGCGUAUAUCAUUUAGUAAGAAAGAUAAGAAUACAAAAUCAAAAUAAGGAUCAAACACAUAAGUGUGGUUAUAAGAUGGCUGUCAAAAAAUAUAUUAAGAAAAUGCUUAAGUUCUUGAGAAAUUGCAUCCAAUAGCUAAGAAAAAAAACAAAAAUUCACUAUCUAACUAAAAUCCCACCCUCUCUCCUAUUUUCUCUUCAUAUCUCUCUCUUCUCUCUCUCUCAGAAUCUAAUUUCUCUUUUUUUUUAGGUUAUUCCCUAAAUAAGCCCUAAGUUCUUUAUAUUAUUUUUAAUUAGAAGUCCACAUUAUUUUUUAUUUGAUCGAUACAAAAGGUAAAAACAAGGAUUAAACCGAUUUUUUAAUAUAUAAAAAAUGUAAAACUGAUAUUUAUAUUGAAAUAAAUUUUAAAAUACAAAAUACUUUUAUGGAUGGAAAGAAGAUAUUAUUAGAGUCUUUUAGACUACAAACUGGAACCUAAAACUCAAAAAAACACAAUGAGAUUUUACACCACCAACUUGAGAGCAAAUCUAUGUUAAGAAUAACUAUUGGAAGCUAAUCUAUUAAAGAUUAAUAUCAAAUAAAUAAUAAUUAUACAAUAACAAAAAUAUAAAAAAUACAAUAUAUGUCUAGAUUAUAAAUAUUUAGAUACAAAACUUAUAUUAAUAUAAUUAUUCAUUUAUAAAAUGAAAAUAUUUUAUAUGCAAUAAAAUUUAAAAUAAAAAAAUCAUGCAGCGUAGCCAGGAUAAUCUUACAAUAUUAAAAGGAGAAUAUGCUCAAAGGAGAGGCAUGCCACAUCAGAUGGAAAAUCAGCCAAUCAGAAUUAUCUUUUUUGACACAUCAUUUUUUCUUAAACCAAUAAUGAAAAUGACGGGCUUCUUACGAAUUUGCUUCAUUCCAUUUCCUUACAUCCCAAAUUGAGCCCACUUUUGGAACUUCGAUAGUCACUGCCUCAUCAACUUCGUCUUCUCGGUUACAACAAUCAAUCCUAUCAAUCAAUUAUGUUCUUCAUUGUUCUCUUUAGGGAUUCGUUUCAUCUCCCUCUCUUUCUUCUCACGUAUAAAUUGCUAAACAGUUUUCUCUAAACCUACUUCUAAGCAAACUCGAAAGCCUACUUUGAAGAGCCUAAAGCUAUGGCCAUGAACAGGGUACUGUUGUACAAAGUUUCAUUAUUGAUGAAUAAGGAUUUACCGUGUUACUCAAGAUUAAAUGGAACUGCUUUUCCAUUGAUUCGAAGAGAUUUAGGUUUCAGCCCUCAGAGUGUUUCCAAGGCAACUGUGACCGAGAAGGUGAUCUGUACCGAUGUAACCGGCCAUCGCAGGUUAUUUGAUGGCCAACAACUAACGCCCUAUAUUUGAGGGAACAAUGAAAGGGCGAAUCUCCAUUCAUCUGUAGCUUAAAUAAGGACCUCUUAUAAAUUAUCAAGUGCAUCAUAAUACUACGGUAAAUUAUAUACCCUGGUUCGUUCCUCAAUACUUUUUAUUUUAAAAAGUAAGCUCGAAUCUUUUUAUUUUGUUGAUUAACAUGCUCAUCUUAAACGGAAACUGAUAACCAAACUGUAAAUUGUUGGUGUGCUAGAGUAGUGGCACUGAUGAGGGAUCAUCCUCAGCUCCAACUUUGUACGGUUGGUUUAAAAAGAUUGAAUCAUUUACACUGUCUGAACUCUGUACUCACGGCCUCACUGCAUCACCAGACGUAAACCCAAAAUCAUUUUCAAGCUGCGUCGAAUCUGUUGCUGACCAUAUCUUGAAACACAAGAAGGAGGCAAGAGUUUCUUUGCACUGCAGUCGUCGAAAGCAUUGACACUGCAGACGGACGGUGCUAUAUCUCAUGUUCCAAGUGCUAACGCAAACUGUAACGUGUAUUCUCAGCUUUUUAAUGCUAUGCAUAUCAAAACGACAAUGCAAUUGGUGUUGUUAGGUACCAUGUGCAAAUGAGUGUUUUUGAUGCAUAUUACACUGCUGAGUUCUUUUGACACUGAAAUCACAAAGCUUACCAAAGUCAGGGCAAUAGAAGCAUCCUAACAAAUGCAGAAUGGUGGCAACCAAGAAACCCAAGGAUUAGCACUUCUCCAAUGACUCCAAGACAUUGUUGGCAGCACCCUAACCUUCCAUUUGAAUCUCUCCCAGUUCAACUACUCAUCAAAGCAUCAAAGCAUCAAAGCUUAACAGUCCCGUAUAUUUGAUCUCAACCAGCACCCUCCUCUACCUAAUUUGAAUUAAACGCAAGUAACAAUACGUACUAAUGUAUAGUGUUAGCAAGACUUUAAAGUUAUUGAUUGUUGUGGAUGCUUAAUGACCAUCCUGGCGAUGAUAUGUCUGGUGCUAGAGCAAUCAAGAAAAGGCCACCUGCUUUGAACACUUUUCGCCUGAACAAUGGAGGCUGCACAGCUGAUGUGAAUGUUACAGGCCAAGCACUCCCCGUGUACGUCCCUAUUUAGGACCCUGCUUGGAACAGUGACAUUGGAGAGGAGGAGUUAGUUGAAGAGGAAGGCUGCAGCGCUAAGAAGACCCGCAAAGACUAAGGGAUCUACAUCGGGAGUGAGUGUGAGUUGCUUUAGUGUCAUAGCUAUUUUGCAUUUCAGACUUUGUUUUUAUGUUUUCUGCAUCGUGAGUAACUACAUUCCAACAUAUUCUGAACCUACGGUAGGUUUUUUGGUUUUUUCAAGAUUAUCUGCAUAUUUGACGUUUUGUUGAUUACAAAUUUUCUCUCAUAUUGAAAUAGGAAAUAAAAAAAAUGCCACAUACAAA